AAAGGAAUUGCGUGUAGGGGAAACACCUUGAGCCCACCGUCCAUUUCCCACCAGUUUGCGCCCCAUUGUUCUCUUCAGAUUCUGCCUCGACGAUUUCGUUUUCAUAUUUCAACAAUUAUGCCAGGUUUGCGCCCUUGAAUUUCCUUCACUCUUUUGUUACUUGCUACAAACUGCAAAACCCAACAUGCCUUGUUGUAUUUCUUUUGAAGAAAAAGAUGAUCAAGGCUGGUUAAUGCCAAAACGAAGAUGAACUUUUAUAGUUUAUUUGUUUUUCUUGCAAAAAAGGUAUGACAGUCUCGUGCUUACUUUCUUCCUAUUGGGUAUAUUUGGUGAAAAAAAAUGGUUGGAAUUGAAUAGAACUAAUAUUUGGUUACUAGGAAGGUUGAGUUGGAAUGAAGAGUGAAUUUUUUUAUUAGUGGACGUAAUUUGGGAGUGCUAGGGAAAAGACUCAGAUACCUGUUGUUGAAUUAUAGCAGGUGAAUUGCUAAUGGAGACUUCAAUAUCUAGUUCAAUUGAAACCGGCUUAGUUUAUGUAUCUGAACUUGGGAAACGAGAUUUUUUAUGUGACUGGAUGCCUGGAAAUGGAAAUUGGCAGGUAUCUCCUAAAUUGGAUGAUACUUGUCAGAGUGGAUGCAAAGAGGCUGAGUAUUCAUGCCCUCCUUUGCCAAGAUCUGGUUCUCAACAGUCAUCGAUGAGUGUUCUGUCUGAAAUUCCUGUGCCUGCUUUUGUUUUCAGUAGGAGGAAGAAACGGCAAGGCAGCAGCGGCAUUGGUUCUGCUUCUGUUGCCAACUGUUGUGCGGAGGCCCCAAUGAAUUCAAAGAGAAGUGGGGCUUGUCUUUCUGUUGUCAGCUCUGAUGCUUUUUCAGUGGCAACAUUGGAGCGAAUUGAAGUUUCUCAUGGUGAACAUAGAAAUGUAGCUGUUGGAGAUACCGUGAUGCCUCUUGCAUGCAAUAGAGAGCCUCACGGUUUAAAGUAUGAAUCUGCUAAUGGAUGUUCUGCCAUGGACGACCGUAGUUCUGAUGAUGCACAUAAAACUGUUAUGCUGAAAUCCAUAGAUGUAGACAGUAUAAAUGAUAGUUGUUCAUCAUCGAAGUCAAAUAUGGAUACUUUAUUAGCUUCCACGAAAAGUGAGAUGGAUGAAAAUGGUGAGUGCACCUCCUCUAGUGUAAUAGGUGCUGAAGUUUUAAGGGAAGAUCUAUAUGAAAAAGGUAUGUGCCUCCCUGUACUUCGGAAGCCGGAGAAUGUUGAGGAAGUUGGGCCAUCUAGGGCUCGUGCUAUUGAGGAAAUUGGUACUAUCGGGGUUAGUAGGUGUUCUAGGUUAUGCAAAAUUUGUGACCGUUUGGGAACAACACAAAAGAUGCUGAUUUGUGAUAAUUGUGAAGAGGCAUUUCAUGUACGUUGCUGCAGACCGAAGAUAAAGAAACCACCUGUUGAUGAGUGGUAUUGUAUUUCGUGUAUGAAACAGAAGCGAAUAGUGCUCAAGGAGACUCUUGCAAGAAGGUCUUCUAGUAUCACUGGUGGAAUGGGCAAAGAAAGAGAUGGAUCAUCUAAAUGGGAAGUCAGUCCAAUAGAAUUAAUGUUGAGAGAUGCUGAGCCUUAUACAACUAGCGUUCGAAUUGGCAAGGGUUUUCAAGCAGAAGUUCCUGACUGGUCUGGUCCAAUUGAUAUUGAUGUUGAUACCAUUGGCGAACCCCUAAACUUGGAUCCUUCAGAAUAUACUUAUUACCACGAAAAGAAUUCAAACAAGUCAUCUAAAUUAAGCUCAAAAGGGAACUGGCUUCAAUGCCAAGAAUUUGUAGAAGGCAAAGGAGGCAGUAAAGGAACCAUCUGUGGAAAGUGGCGCAGCAUAGCACAUUUCUUGUCAGAUGAUUGGUCAAUGCUGUACACUUAAGAUAUUGUUGAUAAUGAUAAUUGUGGAUAAAGAAGAUGAAAUUGUUCUGAAGAGCUAGAGGAAUUUGGUUCAAACUACAUACUAGGCAUUACAUAGAUGAGCUAUUGGGCUCCGCUUUUCGAAGUCCAAACUGAUGAUUGGGAGUGCUUCUGCUCUGUGCAAUGGGAUCCAUCCCAUGCUGAUUGUUCUGUACCUCAGGAGCUGGAAACCGAUCAAGUUUUGAAGCAACUCAAGUAUAUUGAGUUG